rnacentral:rRNA from 1 species
CCCUUAGAUGUUCUGGGCUGCACGCGCGCUACACUGAAGCGUUCAACGAGUAUUCACCUUGCCCGGGAGGGUUGGGUAAUCUUUUCAAAACGCUUCGUGAUGGGGAUAGAUUAUUGCAAUUAUUAAUCUUCAACGAGGAAUUCCUAGUAAGCGCGAGUCAUCAGCUCGUGCUGAUUACGUCCCUGCCCUUUGUACACACCGCCCGUCGCCCCUACCGAUUGAGUGAUCCGGUGAAUAAUUCGGACUGCAGCAGGCCUGGUCUCCGGGUUUUGCAGCGGAAAGUUUAGUGAACCUUAUCACUUAGAGGAAGGAGAAGUCGUAACA